UAAGACAUUGGUAAUUUUUAUUUUAUUCAAUGUGUUUUCAAGUGCCUCAUCAAAUCAUGGUUUUCAGGGGGUGCCUGGCUGGGUCACUGGGUAUAGCAUGCAACUCCUGAUCUUGGGGUCAUGCGUUCAAGCCCCAUGUCAUUGGGUGUAGAGCUUACUUCAAAUUAUGGUUUCCAUAUUAGUAUGCCAUUCACCUUAGAGACUGUUGUGCCACGACAUGCCUUGUCUUGUUGUAUUUAUGGAUUUCACUCGGCAAAUUAAUGAGCGUUAAUAGUUAUAUGCUUAGAGGUUUAAAAUAAAUGCGUGAGAUUUUGAUGUUUUCACGUUUAGGAUGUUCCUGCAAAAGGCACACAGAAGAUUCUAUUUAACAACAUCAUCGUUGGAAAUAUGUAUCAGAAUUAGAUAUACAUAUACAGAACACAAGAGCAUAGUUUUAAAACAGAAUGAUGUGGUUUUCGGAGUACAUUAUAAAUGUUAUUCCUUCAACCUCAUUCUCAUAAGCUCUGUGUACUUCCGUUUCAGAUGUGUGACAUAACAGGAAGUCGAUGCUUGCUCUCCUAGGCAGAAUAAUGCCCCUUCCCACAAAGAUGUCUGUCUCGUCAUUUCCAAAAUUGUGACCAUAUCACCUAAAAUGUCAAAGGAGAAUUCAAGCUGCAGAUGCAGUGAAGCCUGCUAAUGAGCAGACCUUAAAAUAAAAGGACUAUCCUGGGCUUCAUCCAGGUGGACCCCCGUAAUCGUAAGAAUUCUUAAAUGUGGAAGUGGGAGGCAGAAUCAUUGUUUGAAUGAGGUGACAUCGGGGUGGCCGGGCUCACUGGGUUAUUGUUGGCUUUGAAGAGGAAAGGGUCCACAAGCCAAAGAAUGUGAUCAACCUUCCUAAGCUGUAAAAGACAAGAAAACAUGUUCUGCCCUGGAGCCUCCAGAAAGGACUGCAGUCUUGCUGACAUCUGUGAAGCCCAUUAUGGACUUGCGAACUCCGGAGCUCUAAGGAAAAGUCUUUGCUGGUAGAAAUGCUGCUGAGCUUCAGAAGAGUGUUCUCUUCAGCAGAGAGGAGUCCUGGUUUUUUCUCUGCUGUUUCAGCACAUGGUGUUGGAUGUGAUACAGAACGGUACAACUAUGCGGGGCUACAGACGGAAAGUGAAAAUCAAGGAGAUUCUACAGAGAUUAAUGGAUCUGGAGUUUAUGUUCGGCAGGACCGUCAAGAAAGCAACAUUUCUCUUGAUCCACCUGCUCUGAUAAUUUUCCUAUUUGGUGACACAAAUGAGCCUGGAAUGGACAGGAGAUGCCGGUUUUACUGGAUUUAAGAUUCCAUCGCAGCCGAGAGCCUGGCAUCUUCCGAAACGUCCUCCUGCUUUCAAAGGCACAAAUACAGAAUCAUUAGAUUUCUCCCUCAGCUUCAUA